GGCAGCGUUCUCUUUUGCAGAAGUACCACUCAGCCGUUUCAUGUGAUGGCACCAUUUAAUAUGCAGUGGAGAAACAGGCUACCGAGAAGAAGCUAAGGUCUCUCCAUCUUCAACUGCAUCCCCACCAGGAACCUAUAUAGUUGUUUAAGUUCUAACCUGAGGUUGAGGCUUCCCACACAGGGAAAGAGCUGUUGUUCCUAAGGAGUCGAGCAACCCAUCCAUCUGUUCCUAGACAACUCCAAGAGCAGUUAUCCUGGAUUUGUACUGGCACAGGAAAUUCCUUCUUGGCAGCUCUUUAAUCACAGAUUUGGCCAUUAUUAAUUACUAAUAA
rnacentral:lncRNA from 1 species